UGAGGAAUAUUGGUCAAUGGGCGAGAGCCUGAACCAGCCAAGUAGCGUGCAGGAUGACGGCCCUAUGGGUUGUAAACUGCUUUUAUGCGGGGAUAAAGUCUGGGAUGCAUCCCAUUUUGCAGGUACCGCAUGAAUAAGGACCGGCUAAUUCCGUGCCAGCAGCCGCGGUAAUACGGAAGGUCCGGGCGUUAUCCGGAUUUAUUGGGUUUAAAGGGAGCGUAGGCCGUCGUUUAAGCGUGUUGUGAAAUGCCGCGGCUCAACCGUGGCACUGCAGCGCGAACUGGAUGACUUGAGUGCGCUGGAGGUAGGCGGAAUGCGUUGUGUAGCGGUGAAAUGCAUAGAUAUGACGCAGAACUCCGAUUGCGAAGGCAGCUUACCAAAUCGCUACUGACGCUGAGGCACGAAAGCGUGGGGAUCGAACAGGAUUAGAUACCCUGGUAGU
rnacentral:rRNA from 1 species